CCUACGGGGGCAGCAGUGGGGAAUAUUGGACAAUGGGCGAAAGCCUGAUCCAGCCAUGCCGCGUGUGUGAAGAAGGCCUUCGGGUUGUAAAGCACUUUCAGUGGGGAAGAAAGCCUUGGGGCUAAUACCCUCGAGGAAGGACAUCACCCACAGAAGAAGCACCGGCUAACUCCGUGCCAGCAGCCGCGGUAAUACGGAGGGUGCGAGCGUUAAUCGGAAUUACUGGGCGUAAAGCGCGCGUAGGCGGUCUGAUAAGCCGGUUGUGAAAGCCCCGGGCUCAACCUGGGAACGGCAUCCGGAACUGUCAGGCUAGAGUGCAGGAGAGGAAGGUAGAAUUCCCGGUGUAGCGGUGAAAUGCGUAGAGAUCGGGAGGAAUACCAGUGGCGAAGGCGGCCUUCUGGACUGACACUGACGCUGAGGUGCGAAAGCGUGGGUAGCAAACAGGAUUAGAUACCCCAUAGUC
rnacentral:rRNA from 1 species